GACGAACUUUGGCGGCGUGCUUAACACAUGCAAGUCGAACGGAAAGGCCCUGCUUUUGUGGGGUGCUCGAGUGGCGAACGGGUGAGUAACACGUGAGUAACCUGCCCUUGACUUUGGGAUAACUUCAGGAAACUGGGGCUAAUACCGGAUAGGAGCUCCUGCUGCAUGGUGGGGGUUGGAAAGUUUCGGCGGUUGGGGAUGGACUCGCGGCUUAUCAGCUUGUUGGUGGGGUAGUGGCUUACCAAGGCUUUGACGGGUAGCCGGCCUGAGAGGGUGACCGGCCACAUUGGGACUGAGAUACGGCCCAGGCUCCUACGGGAGGCAGCAGUGGGGAAUAUUGCACAAUGGGCGGAAGCCUGAUGCAGCAACGCCGCGUGCGGGAUGACGGCCUUCGGGUUGUAAACCGCUUUCGCCUGUGACGAAGCGUGAGUGACGGUAAUGGGUAAAGAAGCACCGGCUAACUACGUGCCAGCAGCCGCGGUGAUACGUAGGGUGCGAGCGUUGUCCGGAUUUAUUGGGCGUAAAGGGCUCGUAGGUGGUUGAUCGCGUCGGAAGUGUAAUCUUGGGGCUUAACCCUGAGCGUGCUUUCGAUACGGGUUGACUUGAGGAAGGUAGGGGAGAAUGGAAUUCCUGGUGGAGCGGUGGAAUGCGCAGAUAUCAGGAGGAACACCAGUGGCGAAGGCGGUUCUCUGGGCCUUUCCUGACGCUGAGGAGCGAAAGCGUGGGGAGCGAACAGGCUUAGAUACCCUGGUAGUCCACGCUGUAAACGGUGGGUACUAGGUGUGGGGUCCAUUCCACGGGUUCCGUGCCGUAGCUAACGCUUUAAGUACCCCGCCUGGGGAGUACGGCCGCAAGGCUAAAACUCAAAGGAAUUGACGGGGCCCCGCACAAGCGGCGGAGCAUGCGGAUUAAUUCGAUGCAACGCGUAGAACCUUACCUGGGUUUGACAUGGAUCGGGAGUGCUCAGAGAUGGGUGUGCCUCUUUUGGGGUCGGUUCACAGGUGGUGCAUGCCUGUCGUCAGCUCGUGUCGUGAGAUGUUGGGUUAAGUCCCGCAACGAGCGCAACCCUUGUUCACUGUUGCCAGCACGUUAUGGUGGGGACUCAGUGGAGACCGCCGGGGUCAACUCGGAGGAAGGUGGGGAUGACGUCAAGUCCUCAUGCCCCUUAUGUCCAGGGCUUCACGCAUGCUACAAUGGCUGGUACAGAGAGUGGCGAGCCUGUGAGGGUGAGCGAAUCUCGGAAAGCCGGUCUCAGUUCGGAUUGGGGUCUGCAACUCGACCUCAUGAAGUCGGAGUCGCUAGUAAUCGCAGAUCAGCAACGCUGCGGUGAAUACGUUCCCGGGGCU
rnacentral:rRNA from 1 species